GCCCCAGUAGACUAGCGGUUAAGUCAAUGGUCUUCAAAACCAUCUCGCCCUACAACCAGUAGGGAGUCGCGGGUUCGAAUCCCGUCUGGGGCUUA
rnacentral:tRNA from 1 species